GUAGGGAGCAAGCGUUGUCCGGAUUUAUUGGGCGUAAAGAGCUCGUAGGCGGUUCCGUAAGUCAGGUGUGAAACCUCCAGGCUCAACCUGGAGACGCCACCUGAUACUGCGGUGACUGGAGUCCGGUAGGGGAGCGUGGAAUUCCUGGUGUAGCGGUGAAAUGCGCAGAUAUCAGGAGGAACACCAGCGGCGAAGGCGGCGCUCUGGGCCGGUACUGACGCUGAGGAGCGAAAGCGUGGGUAGCAAACAGGAUUAGAUACCCUGGUAGUCCACGCCGUAAACGUUGGGCACUAGGUGUGGGUCUCAACCAACGGGAUCUGUGCCGUAGCUAACGCAUUAAGUGCCCCGCCUGGGGAGUACGGCCGCAAGGCUA
rnacentral:rRNA from 1 species